rnacentral:rRNA from 1 species
AUUGAACGCUGGCGGCAGGCCUAACACAUGCAAGUCGAGCGAGCGGCGGACGGGUGAGUAAUGUCUGGGAAACCGCCUGAUGGAGGGGGAUAACUACUGGAAACGGUAGCUAAUACCGCAUAUCAUCAGAUUUGCCCAGAUGGGGUUAGCUAGUAGGUGGGGUAACGGCUCACCUAGGCGACGAUCCCUAGCCGGUCUGAGAGGAUGACCAGCCACACUGGAUCUGAGACACGGUCCGGACUCCUACGGGAGGCAGCAGUGGGGAAUAUUGCACAAUGGGCGCAAGCCUGAUGCAGCCAUGCCGCGUGGGUGAAGAAGGCCUUCGGGUUGUAAAGCUCUUCCAGCGGGGAGGCGUUACCCACAGAAGAAGCACCGGCUAACUCCGUGCCAGCAGCCGCGGUAAUAC